CUUAAAUGCAGAGGAAAUUGACCAAUGGAAAUGCGGGUUUUUCUUACCACGUAAAACAAGAAAAAGGUUCCAAACUUCAGGGCACUAUCAGUUCUGCAAGAGCUCGGUAAAGAGGACGGUACCAUAAGACAUAAGCUCCAGGUACCCCAGCAAUGAAGUAGAUGAUAGAGAGGAGCCAUAUAGUGGGACCUGAUUGCAAAACGAAGCACAUCAGAUGGAUCAACAUGGUUAGAGGAAAAUAGUAUUAUGGAACUGAUCGUUUGGGUAAAAAUAGUAACCUCCUCCGUUGAUCCAAGCUACAGUUACUGCCACAAUAUUCCAGAAGAGGCAUCCUAUUAAACCUGCAUAGUUCAAGAGUUCUUCCACAAGUUAACUUUUGUCUGGAUUUUUAGCAGCGGUCUAAGGCGUGUUUACAGACCUAACAAUGUGGUGAAUGCGACGUAUUGGAUCUUCUGUAAAUGAAUUGGAGUCUCAUUUGGAAUGUCAUGAUGAAUUAUGGGGAAAAACUCCGGCCAAUUCUUCUCUUCAAUGACAACCCCAGCUACCAAAACAACCGUACCAGGUUAGCUACAAAAACUCGUAAAAAGAUCAUUGGAAGAUGUAGUAAAACAUAUGUAGAAAGAUUGCACUACUUCGCGCUAUUGCGUCCUCUCUUCUUUUAAGCUCCUGCGUUACAAUGAGAAAAAGAAGAUGGGUUAGAUACAAUCCACAUUGAAACUGUAAGUCUCAGGAUUAGCUUGGAUAUCGACUGAAGAGACUCGGUAACCAGAAAUCACCUGCUCUUUCCGCUUCAAUUCGUUCUCCUUAGCCUGAAGUUCCAUCUCUUUAGCUCGAAGAUCCUUUAAACAGAAUCAGAAAAAUGAGAUUUCCCGUGUCAUCUACCCAUAUUUUGAGUAAACAUGAAAGGUAAAAUGCAGAAGGUAUUGAAGAUAUCGUACAUUGCCAGAAUCCAAAGGGAUAUCAAUGGUUGCACCACGAUCAUAAGGUUCCGGUGGAAGUGGCUUGAGAUGAGAGUUGCUCGCAGGAGGAACACUUGUAUUAUUCUACAACAUUAUAAAUUGAGACCAAAUGGAUAACGAUUAGAGAGAUUCAGACGUUUCUAUUCAAGAUUUAUGGAACAGAGCUCUUUACCGCAAAAGGAUUGAUCUCUUCAUCAGCAAAUGGAUUAGGAUCAUGUCGUGCCAUUCUUUGAGAUGGUUUUUUUUUUUUUUU